rnacentral:rRNA from 1 species
AGAGUUAGAUCCUGGCUCAGAUUGAACGCUGGCGGCAGGCCUAACACAUGCAAGUCGAACGGUAACAGGAAGCAGCUUGCUGCUUCGCUGACGAGUGGCGGACGGGUGAGUAAUGUCUGGGAAGCUGCCUGAUGGAGGGGGAUAACUACUGGAAACGGUAGCUAAUACCGCAUAGUGUCGCAAGACCAAAGAGGGGGACCUUCGGGCCUCUUGCCAUCGGAUGUGCCCAGAUGGGAUUAGCUUGUUGGUGGGGUAACGGCUCACCAAGGCGACGAUCCCUAGCUGGUCUGAGAGGAUGACCAGCCACACUGGAACUGAGACACGGUCCAGACUCCUACGGGAGGCAGCAGUGGGGAAUAUUGCACAAUGGGCGCAAGCCUGAUGCAGCCAUGCCGCGUGUAUGAAGAAGGCCUUCGGGUUGUAAAGUACUUUCAGCGGGGAGGAAGGGAGUAAAGUUAAUACCUUUGCUCAUUGACGUUACCCGCAGAAGAAGCACCGGCUAACUCCGUGCCAGCAGCCGCGGUAAUACGGAGGGUGCAAGCGUUAAUCGGAAUUACUGGGCGUAAAGCGCACGCAGGCGGUUUGUUAAGUCAGAUGUGAAAUCCCCGGGCUCAACCUGGGAACUGCAUCUGAUACUGGCAAGCUUGAGUCUCGUAGAGGGGGGUAGAAUUCCAGGUGUAGCGGUGAAAUGCGUAGAGAUCUGGAGGAAUACCGGUGGCGAAGGCGGCCCCCUGGACGAAGACUGACGCUCAGGUGCGAAAGCGUGGGGAGCAAACAGGAUUAGAUACCCUGGUAGUCCACGCCGUAAACGAUGUCGACUUGGAGGUUGUGCCCUUGAGGCGUGGCUUCCGGAGCUAACGCGUUAAGUCGACCGCCUGGGGAGUACGGCCGCAAGGUUAAAACUCAAAUGAAUUGACGGGGGCCCGCACAAGCGGUGGAGCAUGUGGUUUAAUUCGAUGCAACGCGAAGAACCUUACCUGGUCUUGACAUCCACGGAAGUUUUCAGAGAUGAGAAUGUGCCUUCGGGAACCGUGAGACAGGUGCUGCAUGGCUGUCGUCAGCUCGUGUUGUGAAAUGUUGGGUUAAGUCCCGCAACGAGCGCAACCC